AGGACGAACGCUGGCGGCGUGCUUAACACAUGCAAGUCGAGCGGAAAGGCCUUUCGGGGUACUCGAGCGGCGAACGGGUGAGUAACACGUGAGUAAUCUGCCCAUCGCUUCAGGAUAGCCAUCGGAAACGGUGAUUAAUACUGGAUAUGACAUUCCUUCGCAUGUUGGGGUGUGGAAAGUUUUUUCGGCGGUGGAUGUGCUCGCGGCCUAUCAGCUUGUUGGUGGGGUAAUGGCCUACCAAGGCGACGGACGGGUACGCCGACCUGGAGAGGGUCGACCGGCCACGACUGGGACUGAGACACCGGCCCAGCUCCACGGGAGGCAGCAGUGGGAAUACGUUGCACAAGUGGGCAAAGCCUGGAUGCAGCGACGCGCGUGAGGUAUGGAAGCCGUUUACGGGUA
rnacentral:rRNA from 1 species